GGGUUGUGAGGUUAAGCGACUAAGCGUACACGGUGGAUGCCCUGGCAGUCAGAGGCGAUGAAGGACGUGCUAAUCUGCGAUAAGCGUCGGUAAGGUGAUAUGAACCGUUAUAACCGGCGAUUUCCGAAUGGGGAAACCCAGUGUGAUUCGUCACACUAUCAUUAACUGAAUCCAUAGGUUAAUGAGGCGAACCGGGGGAACUGAAACAUCUAAGUACCCCGAGGAAAAGAAAUCAACCGAGAUUCCCCCAGUAGCGGCGAGCGAACGGGGAGCAGCCCAGAGCCUGAAUCAGUGUGUGUGUUAGUGGAAGCGUCUGGAAAGGCGCGCGAUACAGGGUGACAGCCCCGUACACAAAAAUGCACAUACUGUGAGCUCGAUGAGUAGGGCGGGACACGUGGUAUCCUGUCUGAAUAUGGGGGGACCAUCCUCCAAGGCUAAAUACUCCUGACUGACCGAUAGUGAACCAGUACCGUGAGGGAAAGGCGAAAAGAACCCCGGCGAGGGGAGUGAAAAAGAACCUGAAACCGUGUACGUACAAGCAGUGGGAGCACAGAGCAAUCUGUGUGACUGCGUACCUUUUGUAUAAUGGGUCAGCGACUUAUAUUCUGUAGCAAGGUUAACCGAAUAGGGGAGCCGAAGGGAAACCGAGUCUUAACUGGGCGUUAAGUUGCAGGGUAUAGACCCGAAACCCGGUGAUCUAGCCAUGGGCAGGUUGAAGGUUGGGUAACACUAACUGGAGGACCGAACCGACUAAUGUUGAAAAAUUAGCGGAUGACUUGUGGCUGGGGGUGAAAGGCCAAUCAAACCGGGAGAUAGCUGGUUCUCCCCGAAAGCUAUUUAGGUAGCGCCUCGUGAAUUCAUCUCCGGGGGUAGAGCACUGUUUCGGCAAGGGGGUCAUCCCGACUUACCAACCCGAUGCAAACUGCGAAUACCGGAGAAUGUUAUCACGGGAGACACACGGCGGGUGCUAACGUCCGUCGUGAAGAGGGAAACAACCCAGACCGCCAGCUAAGGUCCCAAAGUCAUGGUUAAGUGGGAAACGAUGUGGGAAGGCCCAGACAGCCAGGAUGUUGGCUUAGAAGCAGCCAUCAUUUAAAGAAAGCGUAAUAGCUCACUGGUCGAGUCGGCCUGCGCGGAAGAUGUAACGGGGCUAAACCAUGCACCGAAGCUGCGGCAGCGACGCUUAUGCGUUGUUGGGUAGGGGAGCGUUCUGUAAGCCUGUGAAGGUGUACUGUGAGGUAUGCUGGAGGUAUCAGAAGUGCGAAUGCUGACAUAAGUAACGAUAAAGCGGGUGAAAAGCCCGCUCGCCGGAAGACCAAGGGUUCCUGUCCAACGUUAAUCGGGGCAGGGUGAGUCGACCCCUAAGGCGAGGCCGAAAGGCGUAGUCGAUGGGAAACAGGUUAAUAUUCCUGUACUUGGUGUUACUGCGAAGGGGGGACGGAGAAGGCUAUGUUGGCCGGGCGACGGUUGUCCCGGUUUAAGCGUGUAGGCUGGUUUUCCAGGCAAAUCCGGAAAAUCAAGGCUGAGGCGUGAUGACGAGGCACUACGGUGCUGAAGCAACAAAUGCCCUGCUUCCAGGAAAAGCCUCUAAGCAUCAGGUAACAUCAAAUCGUACCCCAAACCGACACAGGUGGUCAGGUAGAGAAUACCAAGGCGCUUGAGAGAACUCGGGUGAAGGAACUAGGCAAAAUGGUGCCGUAACUUCGGGAGAAGGCACGCUGAUAUGUAGGUGAAGCGACUUGCUCGUGGAGCUGAAAUCAGUCGAAGAUACCAGCUGGCUGCAACUGUUUAUUAAAAACACAGCACUGUGCAAACACGAAAGUGGACGUAUACGGUGUGACGCCUGCCCGGUGCCGGAAGGUUAAUUGAUGGGGUCAGCGCAAGCGAAGCUCUUGAUCGAAGCCCCGGUAAACGGCGGCCGUAACUAUAACGGUCCUAAGGUAGCGAAAUUCCUUGUCGGGUAAGUUCCGACCUGCACGAAUGGCGUAAUGAUGGCCAGGCUGUCUCCACCCGAGACUCAGUGAAAUUGAACUCGCUGUGAAGAUGCAGUGUACCCGCGGCAAGACGGAAAGACCCCGUGAACCUUUACUAUAGCUUGACACUGAACAUUGAGCCUUGAUGUGUAGGAUAGGUGGGAGGCUUUGAAGUGUGGACGCCAGUCUGCAUGGAGCCGACCUUGAAAUACCACCCUUUAAUGUUUGAUGUUCUAACGUGGACCCGUGAUCCGGGUUGCGGACAGUGUCUGGUGGGUAGUUUGACUGGGGCGGUCUCCUCCUAAAGAGUAACGGAGGAGCACGAAGGUUGGCUAAUCCUGGUCGGACAUCAGGAGGUUAGUGCAAUGGCAUAAGCCAGCUUGACUGCGAGCGUGACGGCGCGAGCAGGUGCGAAAGCAGGUCAUAGUGAUCCGGUGGUUCUGAAUGGAAGGGCCAUCGCUCAACGGAUAAAAGGUACUCCGGGGAUAACAGGCUGAUACCGCCCAAGAGUUCAUAUCGACGGCGGUGUUUGGCACCUCGAUGUCGGCUCAUCACAUCCUGGGGCUGAAGUAGGUCCCAAGGGUAUGGCUGUUCGCCAUUUAAAGUGGUACGCGAGCUGGGUUUAGAACGUCGUGAGACAGUUCGGUCCCUAUCUGCCGUGGGCGCUGGAGAACUGAGGGGGGCUGCUCCUAGUACGAGAGGACCGGAGUGGACGCAUCACUGGUGUUCGGGUUGUCAUGCCAAUGGCACUGCCCGGUAGCUAAAUGCGGAAGAGAUAAGUGCUGAAAGCAUCUAAGCACGAAACUUGCCCCGAGAUGAGUUCUCCCUGACUCCUUGAGAGUCCUGAAGGAACGUUGAAGACGACGACGUUGAUAGGCCGGGUGUGUAAGCGCAGCGAUGCGUUGAGCUAACCGGUACUAAUGAACCGUGAGGCUUAACCUUACAACGCCGAAGCUGUU
rnacentral:rRNA from 1 species